GACGAACGCUGGCGGCGUGCUUAACACAUGCAAGUCGAGCGGUAAGGCCCUUUCGGGGGUACGACGAGCGGCGAACGGGUAGGAGUAACACGUGGGUGACCUGCCCUCCAGCUCUGGGAGUAAGCCUGGGAAACCGGGUCUAAUACCGGAUAUGACUCCAUGACGCAUGUUGUGGGGUGGAAAGCCUUGUGCGGCUGAGGAUGGGCCCGCGGCCUAUCAGCUUGUUGGUGGGGUGAUGGCCUACCAAGGCGACGACGGGUAGCCGGCCUGAGAGGGCGACCGGCCACACUGGGACUGAGACACGGCCCAGACUCCUACGGGAGGCAGCAGUGGGGAAUCUUGCGCAAUGGGCGAAAGCCUGACGCAGCGACGCCGCGUGA
rnacentral:rRNA from 1 species